AGUGAACGCUGGCGGUAGGCCUAACACAUGCAAGUCGAACGGCAGCACAGUAAGAGCUUGCUCUUACGGGUGGCGAGUGGCGGACGGGUGAGGAAUACAUCGGAAUCUACUUUUUCGUGGGGGAUAACGUAGGGAAACUUACGCUAAUACCGCAUACGACCUACGGGUGAAAGCAGGGGAUCUUCGGACCUUGCGCGAUUGAAUGAGCCGAUGUCGGAUUAGCUAGUUGGCGGGGUAAAGGCCCACCAAGGCCACGAUCCGUAGCUGGUCUGAGAGGAUGAUCAGCCACCCUGGAACUGAGACACGGUCCAGGCUCCUACGGGAGGCAGCAGUGGGGAAUAUUGGACAAUGGGCGCAAGCCUGAUCCAGCCAUACCGCGUGGGUGAAGAAGGCCUUCGGGUUGUAAAGCCCUUUUGUUGGGAAAGAAAAGCAGCAGGUUAAUACCCCGCUGUUCUGACGGUACCCAAAGAAUAAGCACCGGCUAACUUCGUG
rnacentral:rRNA from 1 species